rnacentral:tRNA from 1 species
CGGGGUAUGGCGCAGCCCGGUAGCGCGCUUGCAUGGGGUGCAAGAGGCCUCCAGUUCGAAUCUGGAUACCCCGA